CCCAGGAGCCACAAGUGGCAACCGCUUUUAUUGGGCCUAAAGCGUCCGUAGCCGGCUUAGUAAAUUUCCUGUGAAAUCGUUGGGCUUAACCUAACGUCGUGCAGGAAAGACUACUGGGCUAGGGACCGGGAGGCGUCAGAGGUAUUCCUGAGGGAGCGGUAAAAUGCUAUAAUCUCAGGAGGACCCCCUGUGGCGAAGGCGUCUGACGAGAACGGAUCCGACGGUGAGGGACGAAAGCUAGGGGAGCAAACCGG
rnacentral:rRNA from 1 species